GAACGAUAAAGGCAAACCAUGCGAAAGCAUGGGACGCAAAGCUAGAGGGGCUUAUCGCAUCCGCGAUUGCCAGCCAGCUGCCGAA
rnacentral:ncRNA from 1 species